rnacentral:lncRNA from 1 species
AGUUUGGAGUUAGUAGACUCAAACUGUUGUAUUUGGAGUGGGUAAGCAAUUAGAUCCUGCUGUAUAGCACAGGGAAAUAUAUCUAGUCACUUGUGAUGGAACAUGAUGGAGGAUAAUUGUGAGAGAAAGUAUACAUAUUACUGGGUCACUUUGCUGCAGAAAUUGGCACAACACUGUAAAUCAACUAUAAUAGAAAAAAUAAAAAUCAUUUAAAAAAUUGCUGUUGUCCUCUUCCAAAUUGGUAGUAUGUAUACUUAUUCCAGUGAUACUGCCAUAUCCAAAGCACUCCACUUUUCAGAUUGAUUUCAGGCAUGGUUGUACACAGACUCACACAUACACACACACACACACCCCAAACACAUCUAACUCAUUUUUUUUUUUUGUCUUUUUGUCUUUUUCCAGGGCCACACCCACGGCAUAUGGAGGUUCCCAGGCUAGGGAUCUAAUCAGAGCUGUAGUUGCCAGCCAACACCAGAGCCACAGCAACGGGGGACUGGAGCUGCGUCUGCGACCUACACCACAGCUCACGGCAACACCAGAUCCUUAACCCACUGAGCGAGGCCAGGGAUCGAACCUGCAACCUCAUGGUUCCUAGUCGGAUUCUUUAACCACUGAGCCAUGACAGGAAAUCCUCUAACUCAUUUCUUAUAGUGUUAUCUCCCAAGAACCAAUUCCAAUGUGUCUCUCAAAGUCUAACCCCUCUUCAAAAAAAUAACAAUUUACCACUAUUUCAAUUUUUUGUGAUGGUAAUUCCAAAAGAAAAACUCAGAGUAUUUUCAAGUUUGGAAACAGAUUUUGGAUUAUAAGUGCCCUAGUGUUCUACCUUAAAGAAUACUUAUUUAUAUUCAGAGGUUCAGGCAAGUUUGUGAACUUUUUAAAAAUCAGUUACAAUGCAUACUUGUUAAAUUUUGAUGAAGUCUACCAUUACCUUUGUGAUAGAGAAGGACAGGGAAGAGCUCUGGGAAUCUUUUAUACAAUGGGUAAAGAUCACAGCCAAUGGAUAAAAUGAGACCCACUAAGAUUUUUAAACACCAGCAAUGCUAAGCAUAAUUAGUUGGUAUACAUGGCUAGUUAGACAAUAAAAGGGAAAAGGAAUUUCUGCAAUCAAAGGAGCUUUGUAUAGCUAUUGCAUCACUCAGCUGAAGGGUGUAUGCUAUGAACUCCACAAAUCUGGUUAAUUGCAUUAUGUAUAGGGAGAAAUCAAGAUGGUGAGAUUUCAUCAUGUUCAUAACUUCAGUCACUAGAGUCAACUUAUACAACAAAGUUUUAGAUUAGGUUGGAGCACAUAAUUAGUUUAUGUUAAUUCAAUCAGAUGGCCAAUUCUAAAAAGUCAAGAAUUACUGCACCACCUGCUUUAUUUGGCCUCAAAGAUUUAGGAAGUAAAAUUCUCUCAAGACGCACCCCGUCUGCCCCUCCAGUGGCUGAUAUAGUUGAUCUCCAAGCAUCCAUACAGCAUACAUUUGCCAUGUUAAACUACCCUAAGCCCGAUGGAGAAUCCUAGAUUUGAAGCACUGCAGAUCCAUCUCACAAUUUCAGAAGAGGUUUCACUAAGCAAAUACUUGCUGAACAUGUCACUGUGAAUCAGGCUUUAAUUUUCUAUGGAAAAUUCCAAGAACACAUCUCAGGAUGUGUCCAAAAUUUCAAGCAUCCAUCCUAUCACUAUAGCUCAGUUUCAAGAGAAAUUAAUUUUACUGGGGAAAAAAACCUCUGCCCAUGUGUCAGGGCUCAUAAUUUUGCAAGUGAAAGAGGAUGAAGGGAAAGCCUGGGAAUGAAGGAUUCCUUCUUCCUCAGCCAUGAAGGAAAAGAGUCCUGGGCUUGACUGCUGUUGGACUGUCACAUUCCCACCCCAUGCCCACCACUGCAGCAAGGAAAGGCCCUAUGCUUUAGCCAGUCAGGACCCAUGCUUGAAGCUAAGCUCUGAGUGGUAACAAUCCCAUCGAAAGAUAAGAAUUAGGAAAGGACAGUUCUUAGGUAGAAGUUUUGAUGCAGAUGAAAAGGAGACCAAGAUGGAAAUAAGAAGGCAACAAAGUGGUGUUCCACUGAUCAAGAAAAUGUUUUUCUCUUGCAAUUUCUUCUUCCACAUGACUAUCUUCUAAACAAUGCUUAUGAUCCCUGGGUUUCUUGAAAGUACCUUUGCAUUCAUAAAACUGCUGGGUUAAUAACUAGGAGUCAUCAUCUGAGAUUUCUCCUUGUAAUUAGGAUGGAGGUGCAUGCUAUGUGAAUACACAGUCCUCCUCUCCAGAACUCUUUGAUACCAGCAGUCUAGGUCCCUUCAGCAAUAACCACUAGGCCAACAGCCAUGAACAUGUCUCCAAAUAAAGUUGAUAAACUCUUCUAAGCCUAUUACUAAAAUCUUAUCUUUUUUAGUUAACGGACUACAUUUCACCAGUUUUGAGGGUUUUGUUUGGUUUUUUUUUUUACUCAAUUUGCCAAUUUUCUUUUUUUAUUAAAGUAUAGUUGAUUUACAAUGUUGUGCCAAUUUCUGCUAUACAGCAAACUGACACAGUCAUACAUAUAUAUAAACACAUAUAACAUACGUUCUUUUUCUUAUAUUAUUUUCCAUUAUGUUCUGUCACAAGCUAUUGAUAUAGUUCCCUGUGCUAUACAGUAGGACUUUAUUGUCUACCCAUUCUAAAUGUAAUAGUUUGCAUCUACUAACCCCAAACUCCCAAACAUCCCACCCCUUCUCUCCUCCCACUUGGCAACCACAAACCUAUUCUUUAUAUCUCUGUUUCCAUUUUGUAGAAUAUUUAUGCCUUACUUUAGAGGUCAUAUACAAGCAAGACUAGGACUAAUACCCAUUACAUGGCUCUCAAAGAGAGCACUCCUGGAUUUCAGAAAGUUCUCAGGAUCUCAGACUACUCACAGAGCUUUAUGGAAAAAAAAUAUAUUUUCUAUAAGAAAAAUUCAGACUCCAUCUUAAAAAGAUAUGCCUAGGGAAAGAUAGAUUAUUGGUUCUACGAUCUGGAAAAUUUUGCUGAGGAAAUUUAUAGAUUCUUUUUUUUUUAUUUGAUGAAUUUAUCACAUCUGUAGUUGUAUAGUGAUCAUGACAAUCCAGUGCUGUGAAACUUAAGAAAAAGUUAACAUAAAACAAGACACAGAGACAUUUAUCUUAAUUAAAGAUGGGAACCAGGGGAUUCAAGGUCUCAAGGACAAAGAGCGCUGCCUCAAGAAACCACACUGCUUUUAUUGUGCUCUUUAGGAUUACGUCAAGUGAGGAGGGGGUUGUAGGUGCAGGAUAUAGUUUUUUUUUAUUAUUAUUUUAAAAGUCAUGUAGCUGGUAGAUGGUUAAGCUUUUAUUCUGACCUAUAGGCAUUUAUCAACCAUUAGCAUUUGAGGAAGCUUGGCGUUAGCUGUCUAUGCAUAGCAUCUAAAGAAUCAUCAUUGUGCUCUGCAAAGGCAUGCCUAUCUGUGGCAACCCCGCGUGCCUAGGUUUGCACCUUGUUCUCCUUGCUGAUGCAUAUUCUGCUAAGGACAGCUUAUAAACCACUUGGGGCCAUGAGGUUCCCCUUUCUCAUAUUUUAACAGGACAUGAUAUUGCUGUGCAAACCGCGUGCCGAUCUGCACAGAUCUGGCAUGCCUAGACUAAUGCAUUAUGUCCUCAUUCAGCUGACCACAUGAAUUACAUGCCUUUUGGUCUUUGUUCUUAAGUGUAAGUUAUUUACCAACACUGCAACUGUUUUUCAAGCAGGAAUAUAGGGUAAAGUAAAGCAGGACAAGAUGGAAUUUUCAGCAUAAAAAAUAGAAGCAAAGAGGCUAAGAAAAGAUUGGAGAAACACGUCUCCUGACAGAUUCUGAGCCCAAAAAAGAGGGCUCUGAAGAGUGGAUCAUUUACCAUUAUUAUUUUGAUGGACAGAAUAAGGUUAAGCAUCUCACCAUCCACAUUCUUAGGUUAAUAUAUUUAAAAAAAAAAACUGUUACUCUAAGGAAUAAAGAGGUAGUGAUAUCAUAGAUCUCAUUCAGUAAAACCAUCUAUCUAGUCUCAUCUACAAAAGAAAUUUGAAGAAAUAGAAAUUAUUUCUACCUGUCAGAAAACAUAUUUUCCCCCCAAGAAAGUUUUCCAAUAAGUUCUUGAAAUAUUAUCUUAGUUUACUCUUGUACAGCUUUUGCGGUCAGUAAGCUCAUAUUAUAGACUCAGAAGAUUAGAGGAAUGGGACACUGCAAUAUUGUCAUCAAUUUCAAGCUAGCUAUUCCACUAAAUAAACACUCUAAUAGGAGAAACUAAUCUAACUUUUGUUGAAUUGUAGGCCAAAAUCCCAUUUACAUGGUCAGGAUGUUUGUCUAGGUCAGUAUCUAAAUCCUCAAGAAUAAGAUUUGACUGUGUUUGGUUAAGUUUGAAUAUCAAAGGAUCCAAAUACCAUUAUGCAGCAAUAUAAAUACGCAGAGACAUCUCAGAACAUCAAAGCCAAGCAUUCAGAGAUGACGUAAAAGAAGGAAAGAAAAAGGAAUUUCAGGGCUUAAUAAUCUGCUGAUUUUCUCUGUGCAUACCGUUUUCUCCAUAAUUUGAAUGUUCAAAAUUUUCUCAUCCUGCAACUAGAUUUAUAACAUAUCAGAAAUUUAUUUAUAUAUGUAUACAUACGUAUAUAUGUAGGUAAAAGUAAGUCACCUUUCUCAUAAUUCUUUUGUUAGUUUUCCCUAGGCUAAAUUAAUGCUCCACUUCCCUCUUCUUUUCAAAGACCAGCAUGUGCACAGUGGAUAUUAGGAUGAACACUGGCAGAGCUGGCAGGAUUUCAGAAUUCGGAGUUCUAUUCCAGCUCUCUACUGGUCAGUCAGCUAUGGGACAGCCAGUAGGACAGCUAUAUUUUCUGCCCCUCAGUUUUCUCACUAAUCACCUGAAGGGACGGGAUUAGUGGCUCAGCACUUCUCAAUCCUUGACAUGUUCUUGGGUUACUAAGCCUAUCUCCACAGCGCUGAGGUGAACAUGCAAAUCCCUUGGAGGGUAGAAGUUUCUUCUCUCUGAAUACAAAAUGCAACCUUACCCCAGACCUUUCUCCAGGCAUGCUUCUGGCUAGAGAGGCAGCCAUUAGUCCACUUGCAUUCUGUCAUCAAAAGACCCUGAAAAAAAAUUUUUUUAUUAAAGUAUGGUUGAUUUACAGCAUUGUGUCAAUUUCUGCUGUACAGCAUAGUGACCCAGUCAUACAUAUAUACACAUUCUUUUUCUCACACUAUCUUCCAUCAUGUCCUACCCCAAGAGACUGGAUAUAGUUCCCUGUGCUUUACAGUAGGACCUCACUGCUUAAACAUUCUAAAUGUAAUAGUUUGCAUCUACAACCCCAAGCUCCCAGUCCAUCCCACUCUCUCCCCCUUGGCAACCACAAAGACCUUGAAAAUUAACACCACAUGUUGCUGUAGAUUAUAGGGAGGGAACACAACGUGUGAAAAUUCUAUUAAAACUUUAUUAAAAUCCACUCUAAAUAUCUCUCCUGUGUUUUGUGACUGUUUAACAUUUUUGUUACUUACACCUGAAAUAAACAAAAAUGGCAUGUCCUCUGAAAAAAUUAAAAAUUUUUAAAAAAAUCUCUCCCUUUUCUCACAUCAUGAAGUCCUUCUGUAUGAAGUCCUUCUCCAACUCUCUUUUAUUCUUGAUGAACACUGCAUUCUAAGGAAUAGAAAGGCCCCCAUUUCCUUGUAUCUGUACAAAGAUGUCUAUGUCUUAUAUUUGUCUCCUUGGAUACUGUAGGGGUGAUUAGGUCCUUUUGAAACACUUUUUCCCUGGAAAGCUCUGAAGUGAAAUGCUUAUUAUUGGAGGAGGCCAUUGAGAGGACAGGACUUACUAGAAACCUGGGACCCUGGCAAAGGGAGGCUCCUCACCCCUCCCCUGUCCUUGGAAUAUAUGCUCUGCCCACCAUUCCCACAGUGGGGGCUUUUCCAAAGAUGUAGCCUUGAGAAAGAGUGAAGUUGUUGAGACCAUCUGGACUGAAUAUGUGACUGAACCCAGUUAAAGCUUCUGUAUAAGCUUUUAAGAUUUCAGCAGUUGGUACGGAGAUUUUGUCUUGCAACCAUCCAAGGGAAGACUUGUAAGUUCCCUUGCUUAUUAAAACUAUCACCCACUAAUCUGAAAUAGUUUGCCUCUUUCUUCAUUCCUCCUUGCCCUUUGUGUACGGAGGCCAGGUUGGGAACCAAACACUUAAUAGAGUUUCUGUUCCCAAGAUUAGUUCAAUGUGACAAGGUGUUCUGUCUUAAUAAAAGGCAAUAUCCUGAAUCCUGGACAAAGGAGCAAAUUUUAUCUGUUGGGACACACCAAAGUUGUUAAUAUUUUAACUUUGAUUCUAUUUUCAUUUUAUUAGAUAUAAGUGGCCAACCUCAUCA